CUGUUGUUGAUUCUGCUUUCCUUGGGGAAAGCGCAUCUACCUCCCACUCGCUUUUCCUGUUCUUUUUCUCACCACUAUGGUGUUUGACAAAUAUUGGCAGCUGGGUCACCACCAAUAACUUCAAGCAUUCUGCAGUGUAGCUGGGUCCACCACCAAUAUCUGGCAGCUGGGUCCACCACCAAUAAUGAUUCCUUCAAGCAUUCUGCAGUGUGGUAAUCCAAACCCAGUCUUUUGCAGUUUGGUGGUAUCGCGGUAACAGAAACCAAUCCUCUGAAUUCCUAUUGCAAAGCAACAGUCGACACAGAUAUGGCGGACGCCCUCCUCUCAACUUCGCUUCAAGUUCUAUUCGAAAGGUUGGCUUCUCCAGAGCUCAUAAACUUCAUUCGGCGACGGAGCCUUAGCGAUGAACUCCUCAACGAGUUGAAGAGGAAACUCGUGGUUGUUCACAAUGUGCUCGAUGAUGCGGAGGUGAAGCAAUUUUCGAACCCAAAUGUCAAAGAGUGGCUCGUCCCUGUCAAGGAUGCUGUGUAUGGUGCGGAAGACCUGCUGGACGAGAUCGUUACCGACGGAACUCUUAAGGCGUGGAAAUGGAAGAAGUUCUCUGCUUCUGUGAAGGCCCCAUUUGCUAUCAAAAGCAUGGAGUCCAGGGUCAGGGGCAUGAUUGUUCAACUGGAAAAAAUCGCACUAGAAAAAGUUGGGUUGGGGCUGGCAGAAGGUGGGGGCGAGAAACGGUCACCAAGACCAAGAUCACCAAUAACCACUUCUUUGGAGCAUGACUCCAUUUUUGUCGGCAGGGAUGGAAUUCAGAAGGAGAUGGUGGAGUGGUUGCGUUCUGACAAUACAACAGGCGACAAAAUGGGGGUGAUGUCCAUAGUGGGCAUGGGCGGCAGCGGCAAGACCACGCUUGCUCGGCGUCUCUAUAAAAAUGAGGAAGUGAAGAAACACUUCGACUUGCAAGCAUGGGUCUGUGUUUCCACUGAGUUUUUCCUUAUCAAACUCACCAAAACAAUUCUUGAGGAAAUUGGUUCUCCACCUACUUCCGCUGACAACCUAAAUUUGCUUCAGCUUCAACUCACAGAGCAACUUCGUAACAAGAAAUUUCUGCUUGUUCUUGAUGACGUCUGGAAUUUGAAGCCUCGUGAUGAAGGUUAUAUGGAGCUUAGUGAUCGUGAAGUUUGGAAUAUUCUACGAACUCCACUCCUCGCAGCAGAGGGAAGCAAGAUUGUCGUGACCAGUCGUGAUCAAUCUGUUGCAACAACCAUGCGAGCAGUCCCUACUCAUCAUCUUGGGGAAUUAAGCUCUGAAGAUAGUUGGUCCCUGUUUAAAAAGCAUGCAUUUGAAGAUAGAGACCCCAACGCAUACCUUGAGCUUCAACGCAUAGGCAGACAGAUUGUGGACAAGUGCCAAGGAUUGCCUUUGGCUGUGAAAGCACUCGGCUGUCUCUUGUAUUCUAAGGACGAAAAAAGGGAAUGGGACGAUGUGUUGAGAAGUGAAAUAUGGCAUCCGCAGCGUGGCUCCGAAAUUCUUCCGUCUUUGAUAUUAAGCUACCAUCAUCUUUCUUUACCUCUGAAGCAUUGUUUUGCUUAUUGUUCUAUUUUUCCCCAGGACCACCAAUUCAACAAAGAGGAGCUGAUUUUAUUAUGGAUGGCAGAAGGUCUUUUACAUGCACAACAAAACAAAGGAAGGAGAAUGGAAGAGAUCGGUGAGUCAUAUUUUGAUGAGCUUCUUGCCAAGUCUUUCUUUCAAAAAUCUAUUGGAAUAGAAGGAUCAUGCUUUGUAAUGCAUGAUCUAAUACAUGAAUUGGCUCAAUACGUGUCUGGAGAUUUUUGUGCUCGAGUGGAAGAUGAUGAUAAGUUACCACCAGAAGUAUCUGAGAAGGCUCGCCACUUUUUGUACUUUAAUAGUGAUGAUACCAGGCUUGUUGCAUUUAAGAAUUUUGAGGCUGUCCCUAAAGCUAAAUCUCUUCGGACAUUCUUAAGAGUGAAGCCAUGGGUUGAUCUUCCUUUGUAUAAGUUGAGUAAAAGAGUUUUGCAAGAUAUAUUACCAAAAAUGUGGUGUUUACGCGUGUUAUCAUUAUGUGCAUAUACAAUAACUGAUUUGCCUAAAUCGAUAGGUAAUUUAAAACAUUUGCGUUACUUGGAUUUGUCUUCCACGAGGAUUAAAAAAUUACCUAAAUCAGCAUGUUGUUUAUGCAAUUUACAAACGAUGAUGCUGAGAAAUUGUUCAAAACUUGAUGAAUUGCCUUCAAAGAUGGGAAAAUUGAUUAAUUUGCGCUAUCUUGAUAUUGAUGGAUGUGGUUCAUUGAGAGAAAUGUCAAGUCAUGGAAUUGGUCGAUUAAAAAGUUUACAAAGGUUGACUCAAUUUAUUGUGGGCCAAAACGAUGGAUUAAGAAUUGGAGAAUUGGGGGAGCUGUCAGAGAUUCGAGGAAAACUUUGUAUUUCAAACAUGGAGAAUGUGGUGAGUGUUAAUGAUGCAUUAAGGGCUAAUAUGAAGGAUAAAAGUUAUCUUUAUGAGUUAAUCUUUGGUUGGGGUACCAGUGGUGUUACACAAAGUGGUGCAACAACGCAUGAUAUACUCAACAAGUUACAACCUCAUCCAAAUUUAAAACAACUCUCCAUCACAAACUAUCCUGGUGAAGGAUUUCCAAAUUGGCUUGGAGAUCCUUCAGUGUUGAAUCUCGUGUCCCUUGAGCUUCGGGGUUGUGGCAAUUGCUCAACAUUGCCACCACUUGGACAGCUAACCCAGCUUAAAUAUCUGCAAAUCUCAAGGAUGAAUGGAGUAGAGUGUGUGGGUGAUGAGUUAUAUGAGAAUGCUUCCUUUCAAUUCCUAGAAACACUAUCAUUUGAGGAUAUGAAGAACUGGGAGAAAUGGUUAUGUUGUGGAGAAUUCCCUCGUCUCCAAAAGCUUUUUAUACGAAAGUGUCCCAAACUCACUGGGAAAUUACCAGAACAGCUUCUUUCAUUGGUGGAACUUCAAAUUGAUGGAUGUCCGCAGCUGCUUAUGGCUUCACUCACAGUUCCUGCAAUUCGUCAGUUGAGGAUGGUGGAUUUUGGUAAACUGCGGUUGCAAAUGCCAGGUUGUGACUUCACACCUCUUCAAACUUCAGAAAUUGAAAUUUUAGAUGUGUCUCAGUGGAGUCAACUUCCAAUGGCACCACACCAGCUGUCAAUUAGAAAAUGUGAUUAUGUGGAGUCUCUGCUAGAGGAGGAAAUCUCGCAAACCAACAUUCAUGAUCUGAAAAUCUGUGAUUGUAUUUUUUCUAGAUCCCUGCACAAAGUUGGUUUACCCACUACACUGAAAUCACUGUUAAUCUAUAACUGCUCGAAAUUAGCGUUUCUCGUACCUGAGUUGUUCAGAUGCCAUCUCCCAGUCCUUGAACGUCUAAUCAUCGAACGUGGUGUUAUCGAUGAUUCUCUGUCGUUAUCCUUCUCAUUAGGCAUCUUCCCCAAGUUGACUGAUUUCGAAAUCAAUGGUCUUAAUGGGCUUGAGAAGCUCUCGAUUUUGGUUUCAGAGGGUGAUCCCACAUCUUUAUGUUCCCUGCGUCUAAGAGGUUGCUCUGAUCUUGAAUCUAUCGAAUUACGCGCUCUCAACUUGAAGUCUUGUUCGAUUCAUAGGUGCUCCAAGCUCAGGUCAUUGGCACACAGACAGUCAUCUGUACAGUACUUGAAUUUAUAUGAUUGUCCAGAAUUGUUGUUUCAGAGAGAGGGUUUGCCUUCCAACCUACGUGAACUUGAAAUUAAGAAGUGCAACCAACUCACGCCCCAGGUGGAGUGGGGUUUGCAAAGGCUGACCUCUCUUACUCAUUUCAUAAUCAAAGGUGGAUGUGAAGACAUUGAAUUAUUUCCCAAAGAGUGUUUGCUGCCCUCUUCUCUGACUUCUCUUCAAAUCUGGAAUCUUCCAAAUCUCAAGUCUCUUGACAGCGGGGGUCUUCAACAACUCACCUCUCUUUUAGAAUUAAGGAUCUACUUCUGCCCAAAGCUCCAGUUCUCGACAGGAUCGGUUCUUCAACACCUUAUCUCUCUAAAACGAUUAGUAAUUUGUCAAUGCUCGAGGCUCCAAUCAUUGACAGAAGCGGGUCUUCAACACCUCACCUCUCUUGAAAGUUUGUGGAUCCAUGAGUGCCCAAUGCUCCAAUCCUUGAAAAAAGUGGGUCUUCAACACCUCACCUCUCUUAAAACAUUGGAGAUCAUGAUCUGUCGUAAGCUCAAAUACUUGACAAAAGAGAGACUUUCAGACUCCCUCUCUUUUCUGAGGAUCUACGGGUGUCCUCUACUGGAAAAACGGUGUCAAUUUGAGAAAGGGGAAGAAUGGCGUUAUAUAGCUCACAUUCCAAAAAUAAUGAUCAAUGGUGUGCUAUAUUAAUCAAAGUGCCACUCCGCCAAUAUAGAGUCAGCACAGAGAAAAGAUUGAAGCAACAGACUGGGAACUCCAGCAAAGAAAAUCCGUUUCCCCUGGCCCAGACUCUGAUCUUUGGCAGGCUUUCUCUGAGGCAGGUGCCCAGACAACAAUAGCAAGUCUGUUAGGACCCGAAAUGGCCAUCACAACAAACCAGCCACAGAAGGAACUUCUGGCCCUGAAACUUGGGGUUUUGGAACAGAGAGUUUUACAGCCACCCCUGCUGCCGGCUCUAAUAUUUCCAGACCCUCCAUUGGAGGCAAUAAUGCCCAGCUGUUUGUUGACUCAAAGAAGAUUGAGGGCAAGCUGGCUACUCAACCUGCUGAAUGGGCUGGUUUCUAACUUAUUUGGUGAGGUUAUAUCAUCCUGGGCACUUCUGGCCAUAAGAGAUGGGAAUAGGUAAAAAAGCAAAACAAAAAGGGAUUCAUGGCUUUCUGGGCAUGAUUAUGCUUGUAAGUAUUGAGUGUUUGCCUUAUGCAAUAGAAUACAACAUCUGCAUAUGUUCCCUGGUUUCCAUGGACUACUUACAAACUUGUACUGUUCUGAAUGCCUCGAUUUUCAGGUCGGAAAAAUAAUAAUUUCUUUUAAUAUUGUCCUGUCUGUGACCUUAUCCUUCUAUUUUGCCAUCUAUUUUUGUUUAAUCCAUGAAAAUCUUGUAUCAUAUUUCAUUUGCAUUUGUUACAUGCAUAAAUCUCUUUAUUAGAUAGUUGAUGUACUUGUUUCUGUGCCAAUUUUGAUGUUGUUUUCUUCUUGAUUUUUGGCUUGUCUUAUGUCUUGAGCCCAAACAACAUCCACUGUCUCUUAAGACCAUAAAUGGUCAUUGUAACAUUUUAUUUGGUAUUGAAGUGGUGUCAAGGAGAGGGGUGGAUUCUUCAUCCUGGUUUUAUGUUUCUGUUUUUAAAAAAUUAUUAGUCAAAUGAGUUUUUGGACUGUCUUUAGCUAUUUUCGACUAUUUUUCCAUAUGUUAUCUUAGAUCUAAAUGCAUUAGCUGGACAAUAGAAUGGUGGUUACUUAUCUAACAGAUGUUGUUUUACUAGACCAUGGGUGAGCUCUCUUACCAAUUCUUAUCUUUAGAAGGGCUUCUAUAUACAAACUUUUAGUGUUUCAUUGAUGUUUUUAAUCUUAUUGCAGAAUGAAAGAAAACUCAACCCUCUCGUCCGUAAUUCAGAACCAUCUAAAGCCUGGGCCAUGGAAUAAGCUCAAGCCUUUCUGUACAGAGCAGCUGGACUCUCUCAAAUUUUUGAUUUGUAAAUAUCCAAAGGUGACUUUUCCCAGUGGAGGAAUUGGAGGAAGGGGAGAUUCCUGGGUGCUGAACUAUUGAUGUUCAUUGCUCUGUUCAAGAAGAACAAGAAACUAUUGAACCCUGGCAUUGAGCUGAUGCUUCAUAACGUGUUAUUAUAAGUGUCCGAGUUGUCUGAAUAUACCCCAUAGUCCCUCUGAUGCCUGUACACAAGUCCUCGGGCGCCUCCAGAAAGGAAGCUUGAUAAAGAGCCAUUGUGCACAAAAAAAAACCAGUAGUCAGUGUUCACCCUCACAACAGUAACGCAGCAAGUGUCCUUGAUUCUUAUGCAACAGAAUUUCCAGAACCUGAUGGUAAUAUCCCUUUAUAGACAGUGCCAAAGACUUCUACCAUCGCUUGUACUCAGGAUUCUGUGAUAAAGCUGCAGAUUUUUGAGGUUCAAGCGGUAGAAAACUAGUGAAAUUGCAGCCAGAGAAACGAAGAAGAAGAACGCAGAGGGGCCUAAGAGGACUGAGAGUAUUAGAAUUGCUUUAUUUUGCUUGCAUCUGCCUGAAGUUAGUUCACUGGACUUCAAUAUCUUGAUUAGAGCACUUCUGGAAACAGCAGUUUGAUCCAACCUCCCAUUUGAAAGAGGUAGUCUUUUCCUCCAACAGCUUCCAGUUCCAUUUGGAAACCUCAGGUCCUCAAAAAUAGCAACUGCACAGUAGGCUCCAACACCAAUCCCUGGGUUGGCAAUAUGGUAUUAGUUGGGUGCUUGAAGCUCUCCCAUAUACUGGUAUACAAUUUCCAUCUCCAAGCAUGGCACCAUGCACUGAUUCGCUGCUCACAUUACCAGUCUUUGUCUUCCAUAUAUCUAAGCCUCUAGAGAACAAGCUGUCCAUUGGUGGUAAGCCCAAACUUUUGAUCCUCUUGGCACCAGUUAACUUCCAUUUGCAGUCCAGAUAGCAAGAAGGAAUAGGUCCUCUUCACUUGGAGAGGGUCGGAAUCCAAAUGCAAAAUCACCAGAAAGGCAAAGCCCAUGUGGAGUUUUCAUCAGUGGCAUAGAGAGAUGAACCCAAGCUUAUAUUACCAUAAGCUUGGCUGAUGAGUAACAAGUAGGGGUAGAGAGACAAUGUAUGUAAGUUAUUAUUCACUGCUUUUCUCUGCAUGUUGAUUAAGUUGAAAGAGACUAGCGAAUAUUAUUUUCUUCUAUGAUUGAACAUUCUCCUGUAAUUGAAUAGUGUAAAAGCAUUUUUUUUUCUUCUUCAACAAAUGAAUAUUGAGAGCAUAGAAUUACAGUAA